GCCAGCUUAGCUCAGUUGGUAGAGCAAGUGAUUUGUAAUCACUAGGUCCCCGGUUCAAGCCCGGGAGCUGGCUCCA
rnacentral:tRNA from 1 species